rnacentral:rRNA from 1 species
CAGUCGCCGCGGUAAUACGUAGGGUGCAAGCGUUGUCCGGAAUUAUUGGGCGUAAAGAGCUCGUAGGCGGUUUGUCGCGUCUGCUGUGAAAACUGGAGGCUCAACCUCCAGCCUGCAGUGGGUACGGGCAGACUAGAGUGCGGUAGGGGAGAUUGGAAUUCCUGGUGUAGCGGUGGAAUGCGCAGAUAUCAGGAGGAACACCGAUGGCGAAGGCAGAUCUCUGGGCCGUAACUGACGCUGAGGAGCGAAAGCGUGGGGAGCGAACAGGAUUAGAUACCCCAGUAGUCCCUGUCUCUUAUAC